UACGAAGGGGGCUAGCGUUGUUCGGAAUCACUGGGCGUAAAGCGCACGUAGGCGGACUGUUAAGUCGGGGGUGAAAGCCCGGGGCUCAACCCCGGAACUGCCAUCGAUACUGUUAGGCUUGAGCACAGUAGAGGCAGGUGGAAUUCCCGGUGUAGCGGUGGAAUGCGUAGAGAUCGGGAAGAACAUCAGUGGCGAAGGCGGCCUGCUGGGCUGUUGCUGACGCUGAGGCGCGACAGCGUGGGGAGCAAACAGG
rnacentral:rRNA from 1 species